rnacentral:siRNA from 1 species
CAACGGCAUUCAGACCGCUCGGC